GACAGAGGGUGCAAACGUUGUUCGGAAUUACUGGGCGUAAAGCGCGUGUAGGCUGUUUUGCAAGUCGGAUGUGAAAGCCCUGGGCUCAACCUAGGAAGUGCACUCGAAACUGCAGAACUGGAGUCCUGGAGAGGAAGGCGGAAUUCUCGGUGUAGAGGUGAAAUUCGUAGAUAUCGAGAGGAACACCGGUGGCGAAGGCGGCCUUCUGGACAGUGACUGACGCUGAGACGCGAAAGCGUGGGGAGCAAACGGG
rnacentral:rRNA from 1 species